rnacentral:rRNA from 1 species
UACGGGGGGUGCAAGCGUUGAUCGGAAUUACUGGGCGUAAAGCGUGCGCAGGCGGUUUGUUAAGUCUGUUGUGAAAUCCCCGAGCUCAACUUGGGAAUUGCAAUGGAUACUGGCAGGCUGGAGUAUGGUAGAGGAAGGUGGAAUUCCCGGUGUAGCAGUGAAAUGCGUAGAGAUCGGGAGGAACACCAGUGGCGAAGGCGGCCUUCUGGAACAAUACUGACGCUCAUGCACGAAAGCGUGGGGAGCAAACAGG